GGAAGGGUGGCUGAGUGGUUUAAGGCACUCGAUUCGAAAUCGAACGUAGUCAAAAGCUACCGUGGGUUCAAAUCCCACCCCUUCCG
rnacentral:tRNA from 1 species